rnacentral:rRNA from 2 species
CAAUAAGCGGAGGAAAAGAAACCAACAGGGAUUGCCUCAGUAACGGCGAGUGAAGCGGCAACAGCUCAAAUUUGAAAUCUGGCUCUUUCAGGGUCCGAGUUGUAAUUUGUAGAAGAUGCUUCGGGUGUGGCUCCGGUCUAAGUUCCUUGGAACAGGACGUCAUAGAGGGUGAGAAUCCCGUAUGUGACUGGCUGCCUCCCCCAUGUGAAGCUCUUUCGACGAGUCGAGUUGUUUGGGAAUGCAGCUCAAAAUGGGUGGUAAAUUUCAUCUAAAGCUAAAUAUUGGCCAGAGACCGAUAGCGCACAAGUAGAGUGAUCGAAAGAUGAAAAGCACUUUGGAAAGAGAGUUAAACAGUACGUGAAAUUGUUGAAAGGGAAGCGCUUGCAAUCAGACUUGCGCGCGGUCGAUCAUCCGAUGUUCUCACCGGUGCACUCGACCGUGCUCAGGCCAGCAUCGGUUUCGGUGGUUGGAUAAAGGCCUUGGGAAUGUGGCUCUCUUCGGGGAGUGUUAUAGCCCUCGGUGCAAUGCAGCCUACCGGGACCGAGG